GGUCAAGCGGUUAAGACGCCGCCCUCUCACGGCGGAAACAGGGGUUCGAUUCCCCUA
rnacentral:tRNA from 1 species